rnacentral:rRNA from 1 species
AACGAACGCUGGCGGCAGGCUUAACACAUGCAAGUCGAGCGCCCCGCAAGGGGAGCGGCAGACGGGUGAGUAACACGUGGGAAUCUACCCAUCCCUACGGAACAACUCCGGGAAACUGGAGCUAAUACCGUAUACGCCCUUUGGGGGAAAGAUUUAUCGGGGAUGGAUGAGCCCGCGUUGGAUUAGCUAGUUGGUGGGGUAAAGGCCUACCAAGGCGACGAACCAUAGCUGGUCUGAGAGGAUGAUCAGCCACAUUGGGACAGAGACACGGCCCAAACUCCUACGGGAGGCAGCAGUGGGGAAUAUUAGACAAUGGGCGCAAGCCUGAUCCAGCCAUGCCGCGUGAAUGAUGAAGGCCUUAGGGUUGUAAAGUUCUUUCACCGAUGAAGAUAAUGACGGUAGUCGGAGAAGAAGCUCCGGCUAACUUCGUGCCAGCCGCCGCGGUAA